rnacentral:misc_RNA from 1 species
UCAAACUUGGUCAUUUAGAGGAAGUAAAAGUCGUAACAAGGUUUCCGUAGGUGAACCUGCGGAAGGAUCAUUAAAGAAUGUGAUCGGCUUUAAGUCGAACUUAUAUUCUGUGAAAUAUUGAUAAAGAGUAUAGUCGGGGCUUUGAAAAUGUUUGACAGGUUGCCAUUCGUGGUAGUGUUGUCAAACGGCCCUGAUAAACCUUAAUAACAACUAUAUUUGAUUUUAAUUUGACUGAAAAUGGAUAAUAUAACCAAAUAUAUAACUUUCAACAACGGAUCUCUUGGUUCUCGCAUCGAUGAAGAACGCAGC